GAUGAACGCUGGCGGCGUGCCUAAUACAUGCAAGUCGAGCGAACAGACGAGGAGCUUGCUCCUCUGACGUUAGCGGCGGACGGGUGAGUAACACGUGGAUAACCUACCUAUAAGACUGGGAUAACUUCGGGUAACCGGAGCUAAUACCGGAUAAUAUAUUGAACCGCAUGGUUCAAUAGUGAAAGACGGUUUUGCUGUCACUUAUAGAUGGAUCCGCGCCGCAUUAGCUAGUUGGUAAGGUAACGGCUUACCAAGGCAACGAUGCGUAGCCGACCUGUGAGGGUGAUCGGCCACACUGGAACUGAGACACGGUCCAGACUCCUACGGGAGGCAGCAGUAGGGAAUCUUCCGCAAUGGGCGAAAGCCUGACGGAGCAACGCCGCGUGAGUGAUGAAGGUCUUCGGAUCGUAAAACUCUGUUAUUAGGGAAGAACAAAUGUGUAAGUAACUAUGCACGUCUUGACGGUACCUAAUCAGAAAGCCACGGCUAACUACGUG
rnacentral:rRNA from 1 species